AAGAUUCAAUUAUUUCUCAUAGAUAAACUUGAUCAUAAACCCACAAUUCACCGAAUCUCGACAAACACAUCGCAAAAAGAUUUACAUCGAAUAGAUCUCUAAGAAGAUCGAGGAGAACUUGGUAUUGAGAUUCAAGGAGAGAGAAGAAGCCAUCUAGCUAAUAACUAUGGACCCAAAGGUCUGUGGUAAACUACUCACAACUCAUCGGAGAGGCCUUGGAGAUGAUGUAGAGGCCCUCUAUGGUCGAUUCCCCCUCCGGUGGAGCGCCGGCGAAGGCUCCAAAAUGGGAUCUCGUGGAUAUAGAAGGUUGCAGCGGUGGAAUUAGGUUUUCGUGGUGCUCUUGGAUGUUCUCGGGGUACGUGGAUAUAUAUAGGAGGAAGAAGUUGGUCGGUUGAGCCACGAGGGGCCCACGAGGGUGGGGGCGCGCCCACCCCCCUAGGGCGCACCGGGCACCCUCGUGGCCACCUAGUUUUCUGCUUGACGUCCACUCCAAGUCUCCUGGUUUGCAUUUGUUCCAAAAAGAUCGCUUCCGAAGGUUUCAUCCCGUUUGGACUCCGUUUGAUAUUCCUUUUCUUCGAAACACUGAAAUAGGCAAAAAAACAGCAAUUCGGGCCGGGCCUCCGGUUAGUAGGUUAGUCCCAAAAAUGAUAUAAAAGUGUAAAGUAAAGCUCAUAAACAUCCAAAACAGGUAAUAUAAUAGCAUGAAACAAUCAAAAAUUAUAGAUACGUUGAAGACGUAUCAAGCAUCCCCAAGCUUAAUUCCUGCUCGUCCUCGAGUAGGUAAAUGAUAAAAACAGAAUUUUUAAUGUGGAAUGCUACCUAGCAUAAUCCUCAAUGUAAUUUUAUUUAUUGUGGCAUGAAUAUUCAGAUCCAAAUGAUUCAAGACAAAAGUUCAUAUUGACAUAAAAAUAGUAAAACUUCAAGCAUACUAACAAAGCAAUCAUGUCUACUCAAAAUAACAUGGCUAAAGAAAGCUAUCCCUACAAAAUCAUAUAGUCUGGCUAUGCUCUAUCUUCAUCACACAAAGUAUUUAAUCAUGCACACCCUGAUGACAAGCCAAGCAAUUGUUUCAUACUUUAGUAUUCUCAAACUUUUUCGACUUUCACGCAAUACAUGAGCGUGAGCCAUGGACAUAACACUAUAUGUGGAAUAGGAUGGUGGUUGCAGAGAAGACAAAAAAGGAGAAGAUAGUCUCACAUCAACUAGGCAUAUCAACGGGCUAUGGAGAUGCCCAUUUAUAGAUAUCAAUGUGAGUGAGUAGGGAUUGCCAUGCAACGGAUGCACUAGAGCUAUAAAUGUAUGAAAGCUCAACAAAAAAAACUAAGUGGGUGUGCAUCUAACUUGCUUGCUCACGAAGACCUAGGGCGUUUUGAGGAAGCCCAUCAUUGGAAUAUACAAGCCAAGUUCUAUAAUGAAAAAUUCUCACUAGUAUAUGAAAGUGACAACAUAGGAGGCUCUCUAUCAUGAAGAUCAUGGUGCUACUUUGAAGCACAAGUGUGAUAAAAGGAUAGUAGCAUUGUCCCUUCUCUCAUUUUCUCUCAUUUUUUUUCUCUUUUUUUUUCUCUUUUUUUAUUUGGCCUUUCUAUUUUUUUAUAAAGUCAAAGUCUCAUCCCGACUUGUGGGGGAAUCAUAGUCUCCAUAAUCUUUUCCUCACUUGGGACAAUGCUCUAAUAAUGAAGAUCAUCACACUUUUAUUUUACUUACAACUCAAGAUUACAACUCGAUACUUAGAACAAAAUAUGACUCUAUAUGAAUGCCUCUGGCGGUGUACCGGGAUAUGCAAUGAAUCAAGAGUGACACGUAUGGAAGAAUUAUGAAGGUGGCUUUGCCACAAAUACGAUGUCAAGUACAUGAUCAUGCAAAAGCAAUAUGACAAUGAUGAUGCGUGUCAUAAUAUACAGAACGGUGAAAAGUUGCAUGGUAAUAUAUCUCGGAAUGGCUAUGGAAAUGCCAUAAUAGGUAGGUAUGGUGGCUGUUUUGAGGAAGGUAUAUGGUGGGUGUAUGGUAUCGGCGAAAGUUGCGCGGCACAAGAGAGGCUAGAAAUGGUGGAAGGGUGAGAGUGCGUAUAAUCCUUGGACUCAACAUUAGUCAUAAAGAACUCAUAUACUUAUUGCAAAAAUCUACAAGUCAUUGAAAGCAAAGUACUACGCGCAUGAUCCUAGGGGGAUAGAUUGGUAGCAAAAUACCAUCGCUCGUCCCCGACCGCCACUCAUAAGGAAGACAAUCAAUAAAUAAAUUAUGCUCCAACUUCAUCACAAAGCGGUUCACCAUACGUGCAUGCUACGGGAAUCACAAAGUUCAACACAAGUAUUCCUCAAAUUCAUAACUACUUUAACUAGCAUGACUCUAAUAUCACCAUCCUCAUAUCUCAGAACAAGUAUCAAGCAUCAAAUUGAUCAUAGCAUCCAAUUCACUUUCUAUGAUAGUUUUUAUUAUACCCAACUUGGAUGCCCAUCAUUCUGGGACCAAUUUUUAUAACCAUAGCAAAUACCAUGUUGUUCUAUAAGACUCUCAAAAUAAUAUAAGUGAAGCAUGAGAGAUCAACAAUUUCUACAAAAUAAAGCCACCGCCGAGCUCUAAAAGAUAUAAGUGAAGCAGUAGAGCAAAAUUAUCUAGCUCAAAAGAUAUAUAAGUGAAGCACAUAGAGUAUUCUAAUAAAUUCCAAAUCAAGUGUGUCUCUCCCAAAAGGUGUGUACAGGAAGGAUGAUUGUGGUAAACUAAAAAGCAAAGACUCAUAUCAUACAAGAUGCUCCAAGCAAAAUACAUAUCAUUUGGUGAAUAAAAAUAUAGCUCCAAGUAAAGUUACCGAUAAACGAAGACGAAAGAGGGGAUGCCUUCAGGGCAUCCCCAAGCUCAGGCUUUUGGUUGUCCUUGAAUAUAUUGGUGUUCCAUGGGAAUCCCCAAGCUUAGGCUCUUGCCACUCCUUAUUCCAUAGUCCAUCAAAUCUUUACCCAAAACUUGAAAACUUCACAACACAAAACUCAACAGAAAAUCUCAUAAGCUCCGUUAGUGCAAGAAAGAAAAACCACCACAUAAGAUACUGUAAUGAACUCAUUCUUUAUUUAUAUUGGUGUUAAACCUAUUGUAUUCCAACUUCUCUAUGGUUCAUACCCCCCGAUAUUAGCCAUAGAUGCAUCAAAAUAAGCAAACAACACACGAAAAACAGAAUCUGUUAAAAACAGAACAGUCUGUAGAAAUCUGAAACUUUCGAAUACUUAUGGAACUCUAAAAAUCAUACCAAAAUAGUAAGUCCUGGAAAAUUUGUCUAUUGAUCUAGUGCAAAAAUAAUCAACGCAAAAGCACGUUUCUGUGAUUUAUUAAAACUAUUUCCGUGCGUGCAAAAGUUUCUGUUUUUCAGCAGAAUCAAAUUAACUAUCACCAUAGGUUAUCCUAUAGGUUCUACUUGGCACAAACACUAAUUAAAACAUAAAACCACAUCUAAACAGAAUCUAGGUGAAUUAUUUAUUAAAUAACAGCAAGGACAAAUAUUGGGUUGUCUCUCAACAAGCGUUUUUCUUUAAAGCCUUUUAGCUAGGCAUUGAUAAUUUUAAUGAUCCUCACAUGAAAGACAAGAAUUGAAGCCAAAGAGAGCAUCAUGAAACACGUGAAAAACCCACUAAGUCUAACAUACUUCCUAUGCAUAGGCAUAUUAUAAGCAAACAAACUUGUAAGACAAGCAAAAACUAGCAUAUGCAAGGAAGAAGAAAGAGACGAUAGCAAUCUCAACAUGACGAGAGGUAAUUUAAUUAGUA
rnacentral:lncRNA from 1 species